UUACCUAAGAAAUCAUUAACAACCCAAUUUGUUGUAAACAACGAUACAAUGGCAAACAAGUUUGCAAAGCCACACAUUAAUCCUCCUGCUACCGCGAACUUAUUUGCACGAUAAGGCAUGAUUUAAAUCUCAAACUGUGAUAAUACACGAUGCUGAACUCAGCUUAGCAACGGCAGAAAACAACACGUUUCGAUGUAUAUUCUGUCAUUCUGUGUCACCCAGCUUCUUUGCAACACUAAACACGAUAUAAACAAGAAGUUUUACCAAUGAAACAUUGUUAAAUUUCUUUGAAACUGAUAAAGUUUAUGAACAAAUUGCGCCUCAAAUAUUUACAGUAAUAUUCGUCGUGU